rnacentral:tRNA from 1 species
GGCCGCGUAGCCAAGUGGUUAAGGCGACGGUUUGCAAAACCGUUAUUCGCCGGUUCGAUUCCGGCCGCGGCCUCCA